rnacentral:rRNA from 1 species
AGUAGUUUGAUCAGUGCUACAGAACGAACGCUGGCGGCAUGCCUAACACAUGCAAGUCGAACGAGACCUUCGGGUCUAGUGGCGCACGGGUGCGUAACGCGUGGGAAUCUGCCCUUGGGUUCGGAAUAACAGUUAGAAAUGACUGCUAAUACCGGAUAAUGUCUUCGGACCAAAGAUUUAUCGCCCAGGGAUGAGCCCGCGUAGGAUUAGCUAGUUGGUGAGGUAAAGGCUCACCAAGGCGACGAUCCUUAGCUGGUCUGAGAGGAUGAUCAGCCACACUGGGACUGAGACACGGCCCAGACUCCUACGGGAGGCAGCAGUGGGGAAUAUUGGACAAUGGGCGAAAGCCUGAUCCAGCAAUGCCGCGUGAGUGAUGAAGGCCUUAGGGUUGUAAAGCUCUUUUACCCGGGAUGAUAAUGACAGUACCGGGAGAAUAAGCCCCGGCUAACUCCGUG